rnacentral:lncRNA from 1 species
CACUCAAAAAAAUCCACACGUCAAGGCUACGUGAAAAAUCACGUAGACCCCUUAGAAAUGAAUUUUUCUAGAAGUUACCUGACAUAUGUACCAAUCACCGGAUCAUCGAUAGAAAUGGCAUAAACUGUCUGUCGUAUUUACUGUCGUGCCCUAUCAAGCUUACGUGAAAUUCAUGUACCAAGGCAUGUUCAUUUUGACAGCUGUAUGUUGUGUUCAUUCUCUAUCAUACCUGUGAAACAAGAUGGUGCCUAUAGAAGAAAAACUUUCAACAACCACUAGACAAUUUCAAUAUUGGGACUCAUUUUGGUAAUAUUUUGAGCUAAAAGGAACGAAAGUGAACUGAACUACUGCAUAAUUGUGUUUUAUCUUUUGGAUCGGAAAGUUUAUGAUCCAUGAAACGGAUCAAAUCCGCUCAUCAAUGGAAUAAACGGAACCAAAACACUAUUAUUUUCCUCGAAGACAAGAUGAAUCUGGAAUCAUAAAUCAUAAUGGCAAAGGUGCAGCUCUGGACUACCAAAACGCUCAUGGCCAAACAAAACCAACUUGCGCUCCUCAAAACAACUCGCGAAACAACAAUUAAAAGAAUCAACUAUAUAUGUAAUAAAAAACGCUUCAACGAUUAUUAAUUUGAA